rnacentral:tRNA from 1 species
AAAUGGGAGCAAGAUUAGCAAGUUGGCUACGGUCCAACCCAUAGAGGUGUAACUCCUCUCCCAUUUA